UAGCAGGAUAAGUUACAACAUAGCUGUGUUGUGCUCUGUUGUCGUUCCCCCUGCUGAAAGUAAAUGUUUCCUACUAUCCCUGACUGGUCUCUGUGGCAGGCAGGGACGCUUGGUCUCAUACAG